UACGUAGGGGGCAAGCGUUGUCCGGAUUUACUGGGUGUAAAGGGUGCGUAGGCGGGUUGGUAAGUCAGUGGUGAAAUCUCAUAGCUUAACUAUGAAACUGCCUCUGAUACUGCCAAUCUUGAGUUCAGAAGAGAGAGAUGGAAUUCCAGGUGUAGUGGUGAAAUACGUAGAUAUCUGGAGGAACACCAGAGGCGAAGGCGAUCUCUUGGUCUGUAACUGACGCUGAGGCACGAAAGCGUGGGUAGCGAACAGGAUUAGAUACCCCGGUAGUCC
rnacentral:rRNA from 1 species